rnacentral:rRNA from 1 species
UACGGAGGGUGCGAGCGUUGUCCGGAAUCACUGGGCGUAAAGGGCGCGUAGGCGGCCUGAUAAGUAGGGGGUGAAAUCCUGCGGCUUAACCGCAGGGCUGCCUUCUAAACUGUCAGGCUUGAGCACAGUAGAGGCAGGUGGAAUUCCCGGUGUAGCGGAUGGAAUGCGUAGAGAUCGGGAAGAACACCCGUGGCUAAGGCGGCUCGCUGGGACGGUACUGACGCUGAGGCGCGAAAGCGUGGGGAGCAAACAGG